CAUUGUUUAAAUAAGCAAAAAUUAACAUUUUUGCCGUAAAAUCAAUACAGCAACGUUUUGGCACCUGACACCAGGCACUGGACACCUCAUAUCCUGUUAAGUAGGCUUUUGCGUAACCAAGCCAAACACGUACAUAGUUUCUAUUCUGGUGAAAACACAACACGAAAAUUCAAAAAAAAAAAAACAAACAAAACACAGUGAGUUUUAGAACUAAACAUAUUUUAAUGCCAAAAUGUCGUCGUCGUCGUCAGCAUCACAUCCAUAUGGACUGACAGCGAACGAUAUUGCUACUGAGUAUCGGCCUUACAGCGGAUCGGCCGGCAUUGUGGCCAGCAGUUCAAUGUCAACUACUGCAACUGGACAGCAGCAAUUGAGACGACAACAGCAGGAUCUGCAGGAGCGUGAAGAUGCGCUUGAAUACUUCAUUAAGUUUCCAAAACCGACAGCCGAUACGGAUUUUGUGCUGGUCAGUGGCAAUGAGGAACACAAUAAUGUGCCAAUUGUAAUGCUAUUGGGCUGGGCGGGCUGCCAGGAUCGAUAUUUGAUGAAGUAUUCAAAGAUCUACGAGGAGAGGGGCCUGAUAACUGUACGCUAUACGGCGCCUGUGGAUACGCUGUUCUGGAAGCGCAGCGAAAUGAUUCCCAUUGGGGAAAAGAUAUUAAAGCUGAUACAGGACAUGAACUUUGAUGCGCAUCCGUUGAUUUUUCACAUAUUUUCCAAUGGCGGCGCCUAUCUCUAUCAACACAUCAAUCUGGCCGUUAGAAAGCACAAGUCCCCAUUGCAGGUGCGCGGUGUCAUCUUUGAUUCGGCGCCAGGCGAACGUCGCAUGCUCGGCUUGUAUCGUGCCAUAACAGCAAUUUAUGGGAAAGAGAAGCGAUGCAACUGCCUCACAGCACUGGCCAUAACAUUGACGCUGAGCAUCAUGUGGUUUGUCGAGGAAACUUAUUCGGCUUUCAAGAAUGUGUUUGUCAAGUCAACGCCAUUGCAUGCCAGUCCAUUUUGUGAGCUGAAGAACGAGACAAACAAAUAUCCGCAACUGUUUCUAUAUUCAAAAAGCGAUGUGGUCAUACCAUACAAAGAUGUGGAGAAAUUUAUACGGAUGCGGCGUGAUCAGGGCAUCAAUGUGUCGUCUGUUUGUUUUGAGGAUGCUGAGCAUGUUAAGAUCUAUACCAAGUAUCCUGCACAAUAUGUGCAGAGUGUGUGUAGUUUUAUUCGGAACUGUAUGUCCAUCCCGUCCUAUCAAUUGGCUGGCGAAGUUACCGACUCUGAGUCUGCAGAGCAACUGCUAGAGCAACAGCAGCCAGGAGGCAAUUUAAAAUAUGAUUAAAAAUUUUGGUUUCGAUUUAAACGCUAAGGGCGCUCGCUAGGACAGGAUAACGCAUCAAACGUAUGUGAUAGGCAGCACAACUACUAUUUACUUACUUAAACUAUUUGCAACAUAUUCGAAGAAAUGCAAAAAUUUUAAACCGUACGAGUUUAAAUUCAAAAUGCAAUAUUACGAAUGACAGCUAGCUGCUAUGAAACUCGCCAGGGUGAUGUGCCACUAUCGAAAGUUUAUGGCGCAAUCGUUUAUAUUCGAUAACUCUUGGCGAGACGCCAUCUUGGAAUGUGCGAAGAAGAAGAAGCGAACAAAAAGCAAGCGAAAAAUCUUUAAGCGUAUUUAUUUAAAUGUAUAAAUUGCAUAAAUCAUUAAAUUUAAGAACAAGCACACAUAUUUAAUGCUCUACUCAUCAAUAUAAAAGAAAUCCCAGCACAGCUGCCACGUUGCGUUUGCCCAAAAAGGCUAAGCCAAAAAAAAAAUCGAAAUCUCCGACGGCCCGAAGGUAUCACACACAACAC